GACGAACGCUGGCGGCGUGCUUAACACAUGCAAGUCGAACGGAAAGGCCCUGCUUUUGUGGGGUGCUCGAGUGGCGAACGGGUGAGUAACACGUGAGUAACCUGCCCUUGACUUUGGGAUAACUUCAGGAAACUGGGGCUAAUACCGGAUAGGAGCUCCUGCUGCAUGGUGGGGGUUGGAAAGUUUCGGCGGUUGGGGAUGGACUCGCGGCUUAUCAGCUUGUUGGUGGGGUAGUGGCUUACCAAGGCUUUGACGGGUAGCCGGCCUGAGAGGGUGACCGGCCACAUUGGGACUGAGAUACGGCCCAGACUCCUACGGGAGGCAGCAGUGGGGAAUAUUGCACAAUGGGCGGAAGCCUGAUGCAGCAACGCCGCGGGCGGGAUGACGGCCUUCGGGUUGUAAACCGCUUUCGCCUGUGACGAAGCGUGAGUGACAGUAAUGGGUAAAGAAGCACCGGCUAACUACGUG
rnacentral:rRNA from 1 species